UACAAAGGUCUCAAGCGUUGUUCGGAUUCAUUGGGCGUAAAGGGUGCGUAGGCGGCGCGGAAAGUCGGGUGUGAAAUUUCGGAGCUUAACUCCGAAACUGCAUUCGAUACUGCCGUGCUUGAGGACUGGAGAGGAGACUGGAAUUUACGGUGUAGCGGUGAAAUGCGUAGAUAUCGUAAGGAAGACCAGUGGCGAAGGCGGGUCUCUGGACAGUUCCUGACGCUGAGGCACGAAGGUCAGGGGAGCAAACGGG
rnacentral:rRNA from 1 species